rnacentral:rRNA from 1 species
GACGAACGCUGGCGGCGUGCUUAACACAUGCAAGUCGAACGGAAAGGCCCUGCUUUUGUGGGGUGCUCGAGUGGCGAACGGGUGAGUAACACGUGAGUAACCUGCCCUUGACUUUGGGAUAACUUCAGGAAACUGGGGCUAAUACCGGAUAGGAGCUCCUGCUGCAUGGUGGGGGUUGGAAAGUUUCGGCGGUUGGGGAUGGACUCGCGGCUUAUCAGCUUGUUGGUGGGGUAGUGGCUUACCAAGGCUUUGACGGGUAGGCGGCCUGAGAGGGUGACCGGCCACAUUGGGACUGCGAUACGGCCCAGACUCCUACGGGAGGCAGCAGUGGGGAAUAUUGCACAAUGGGCGGAAGCCUGAUGCAGCAACGCCGCGUGCGGGAUGACGGCCUUCGGGUUGUAAACCGCUUUCGCCUGUGACGAAGCGUGAGUGACGGUAAUGGGUAAAGAAGCAACGGCUAACUACGUG